AUUGAACGCUGGCGGCAGGCCUAACACAUGCAAGUCGAACGGUAACAGGAAGAUGCUUGCUUCUUUGCUGACGAGUGGCGGGCGGGUGAGUAAUGUCUGGGAAACUGCCUGAUGGAGGGGGACAACUACUGGAAACGGUAGCUAAUACCGCAUAACGUCGCAAGACCAAAGAGGGGGACCUUCGGGCCUCUUGCCAUCGGAUGUGCCCAGAUGGUCUUAGCUAGUAGGUGGGGUAACGGCUCACCUAGGCGACGAUCCCUAGCUGGUCUGAGAGGAUGACCAGCCACACUGGAACUGAGACACGGUCCAGACUCCUACGGGAGGCAGCAGUGGGGAAUAUUGCACAAUGGGCGCAAGCCUGAUGCAGCCAUGCCGCGUGUAUGAAGAAGGCCUUCGGGUUGUAAAGUACUUUCAGCGGGGAGGAAGGGAGUAAAGUUAAUACCUUGGCUCAUUGACGUUACCCGCAGAAGAAGCACCGGCUAACUCCGUG
rnacentral:rRNA from 1 species